rnacentral:sRNA from 1 species
UUUUAAUUCAAUGUUAAAUUAUAUUCAAAAAAAAAUAAACGUUUAUAUAUGUGAAUGCAAAGUUUUCUUAGCAUACAGAUAAAGUCCGAUCCUAUAAACAUGUGGGAGGACUCCAAGUGUGGUUAUAUCCUCGGUAUUAUCUCGAUGUGAACCACACUUGGAGUCCUCCCACAUGUUUUUCUACCUUCCCUUUCCUUAGAGUACUCAAUCGGUUUCUCACAUUUUUAUCAAUCAACUUGACAAUUUUUCCGUUGUUGAGGGUCGCUCUCCGUGUCUUUAUCAUUUCUCUCCCUCCAUAUAGAAUGUAUCGCAUUCUAAAACACAAACAUAAGGAUGAAUCUCUUAGUGUUUCAUGAUCUUUGCUUUUUAGUUCCUUCAUCACUUCUAGCCUU